rnacentral:rRNA from 1 species
UAAUACGUAGGGGGCGAGCGUUGUCCGGAUUUACUGGGCGUAAAGCGCCUGUAGGCGGGGCGGGAAGUCGGACGUGAAAGGCUGGGGCUCAACCCCAGAAGGCCGUUCGAAACUCUCGCUCUUGAGGGUCGAAGAGGAGCGUGGAAUUCCCGGUGUAGCGGUGAAAUGCGUAGAGAUCGGGAGGAACACCCGUGGCGAAGGCGGCGCUCUGGUCGGCAUCUGACGCUGAGAGGCGAAAGCGUGGGGAGCGAACGGGAUUAGAUACCCCGGUAGUCCACGCCGUAAACGAUGGUCACUAGGUGUCAGCGGUAUCGACCCCGCUGGUGCCGCAGCUAACGCAGUAAGUGACCCGCCUGGGGAGUACGGCCGCAAGGUUG